rnacentral:rRNA from 1 species
GAUGAACGCUAGCGGCAGGCUUAAUACAUGCAAGUCGAACGGGAUUCAGGGUAGCAAUACUUUGAUGAGAGUGGCGCACGGGUGCGUAACGCGUAUGCAACCUACCUUUAACAGGGGGAAUAGCCCCAAGAAAUCGGGAUUAAUACUCCGUAACAUUGCGGGAUGGCAUCAUUCUGCAAUUAAAGAUUUAUCGGUUAAAGAUGGGCAUGCGUGACAUUAGCUUGUUGGUGAGGUAACGGCUCACCAAGGCAACGAUGUCUAGGGGUCCUGAGAGGGUUAUCCCCCACACUGGUACUGAGACACGGACCAGACUCCUACGGGAGGCAGCA